CAGGGAAUCUUGCGCAAUGGACGGGAGUCCGACGCAGCGACGCCGCGUGGGUGAAGACGGCCUUCGGGUUGUAAAGCCCUUUUCUGGGGGAAGAGAGAGGACGGUACUCCAGGAAUAAGUGUCGGCCAACUACGUGCCAGCAGCCGCGGUAAUACGUAGGACACGAGCGUUAUCCGGAUUUACUGGGCGUAAAGCGCCUGUAGGCGGUUCUUCAAGUCGUUUGUGAAAGCCCUGGGCUCAACCUGGGGAGGCCAAGCGAUACUGGAGGACUUGAGGGUGACAGAGGGGAGUGGACUUUCCGGUGUAGCGGUAAAAUGCGCAGAUAUCGGGAGGAACACCAGUGGCAAAGGCGGCUCCCUGGGUCACCACUGACGCUGAGAGGCGAAAGCUAGGGGAGCAAACA
rnacentral:rRNA from 1 species